GCCAAGCAGCCGCGGUAAUUCCAGCUCCAAUAGCGUAUAUUAAAGUUGUUGCAGUUAAAAAGCUCGUAGUUGGAGUUCAGAUUGAGCUCGGCCGGUCGGCCUAAUUGGUCAGAACUGGUUGACUCUGUCUUGUUUGUGGAUCCCUCCGGAGUUAACUCUUCGGAUGUGGAGUCCACAUCGUUUACCUUGAAAAAAUUAGAGUGUUCAAAGCAGGCGUUUGCUUGAAUAUAUUAGCAUGGAAUAAUGGAAUAGGACGCUGGUUCUAUUUUGUUGGUUUUGAGAACCAGAGUAAUGAUUAAUAGGGACAGUUGGGGGCAUUCAUAUUUCAUUGUCAGAGGUGAAAUUCUUGGAUUUAUGAAAGAUGAACUUCUGCGAAAGCAUUUGCCAAGGAUGUUUUCAUUAAUCAAGAACGAAAGUUAGGGGAUCGAAGACGAUCAGAUACCGUCGUAGUCUUAACCAUAAACUAUGCCGACUAGGGAUUGGACGUGGUUUGUUCAUUGACCCGUUCAGCACCUUACGAGAAAUCAAAGUCUUUGGGUUCCGGGGGGAGUAUGGUCGCAAGGCUGAAACUUAAAGGAAUUGACGGAGGGGCACCACCAGGAGUGGAGCCUGCGGCUUAAUUUGACUCAACACGGGAAAACUUACCAGGUCCAGACAUAGUAAGGAUUGACAGAUUGAGAGCUCUUUCUUGAUUCUAUGGGGUGGUGGUGCAUGGCCGUUCUCAGUUGGUGGAGUGAUUUGUCUGGUUAAUUCCGAUAACGAACGAGACCUUAUCCUACUAAAUAGUUACGCCUAUACUUUUGUAUAAGCGGACAACUUCUUAGAGGGACUAUCGGUGUUCAACCGGUGGAAGUUUGAGGCAAUAACAGGUCUGUGAUG
rnacentral:rRNA from 1 species